rnacentral:lncRNA from 1 species
GGAUGAGAUCUCUGAAUAUCCUAAGCCAAGUGCAGGCCAUAGGAGAAAGCAGUGAAAAAGAAACACUGUGACAAGCAAGGAAGAAACUUCAGACCAAGUUGACAGGCAGCCCUUCAGUUUACUGACUGCCGCUUCUUACCUGCCAACGCCAAGCACAAAGCUGCCUGCAGAGCCAGCCUCUAUCUGUGGUCCUUGUGCCAAUUAUCACUGCCCCACUCAUGCCGCAGGAUAUAAAGCAGAGUGACAGGGUCACAGGACUGCCAGAGGAAUACAGGUCUUCCACCCCAAGUCCUCUUAUCCACUGAACAAUUGUGG